CAGCCGCCGCGGGAAUACAGAGGGUGCGAGCGUUAAUCGGAUUUACUGGGCGUAAAGCGUGCGUAGGCGGCUUCUUAAGUCGGAUGUGAAAUCCCUGAGCUUAACUUAGGAAUUGCAUUCGAUACUGGGAAGCUAGAGUAUGGGAGAGGAUGGUAGAAUUCCAGGUGUAGCGGUGAAAUGCGUAGAGAUCUGGAGGAAUACCGAUGGCGAAGGCAGCCAUCUGGCCUAAUACUGACGCUGAGGUACGAAAGCAUGGGGAGCAAACAGGAUUAGAUACCCCUGUAGUCCCUGUCUCUUAUAA
rnacentral:rRNA from 1 species